AUACGGAGGAUGCGAGCGUUAUCCGGAUUUAUUGGGUUUAAAGGGUGCGUAGGCUGUGCUGCAAGUCAGUGGUGAAAGCCCGGCGCCUAACGCCGGAACUGCCUUUGAUACUUCCGAGCUGGAAUACGGAUGCCGUGGGAGGAAUGAGUAGUGUAGCGGUGAAAUGCAUAGAUAUUACUCAGAACACCGAUUGCGAAGGCAUCUCACGAAUCCGUCAUUGACGCUGAGGCACGAAAGCGUGGGGAUCAAACAGGAUUAGAUACCCUGGUAGUCCACGCAGUAAACGAUGAUGACUAACCGUCGGCGAUACACAGUCGGUGGCCAAGCGAAAGCGAUAAGUCAUCCACCUGGGGAGUACGUUCGCAAGAAUGAAACUCAAAUGAAUUGACGGGG
rnacentral:rRNA from 1 species